GAUGAACGCUGGCGGCGUGCCUAAUACAUGCCAGUCGAGCGAACGGACGAUAAGCUUGCUUCUCUGAUGUUAGCGGCGGACGGGUGAGUAACUCGUGGAUAACCUACCUAUAAUACUGGGAUAACUUCGGGAAACCGGAGCUAAUACCGGAUAAUAUUUUGCACCGCAUGGUUCAAAAGUGAAAGACGGUCUUGCUGUCACUUAUAUAUGUAUCCAGGCUGCAUUAGCUAGUUGGUAAGGUAACGGCUUACCAAGGCAACGAUGCAUAGCCGACCUGAGAGGGUGAUAGGCCAAACUGGAACGGAGACACGGAAAAGAGGCCGAGGGGAGGAAGCAGUAGGGAAUAUACCGCAAUGGGCGAAAGGCUGACGGAGCAACGCCGCGUGAGUGAGGAAGGGCUGCGGAUCGUAAAACUCUGUUAUUAGGGAAGAACAUAAGUGUAAGUAACUGUGCACAUCUUGACGGUACCUAAACAGAAAGCCACGGCUAACUACGUG
rnacentral:rRNA from 1 species